rnacentral:rRNA from 1 species
GACGUAGGGGCGCGAGCGUGUCCGGAUUAUUGGGCGUAAAGAGCUCGUAGGCGGCUUGUUGCGUCAAGCUGUGAAAAACCCGCAGCUCAACUGUGGGCUUGCAGCUGAUACGGGCAGGCUUGAGUUCGGUAGGGAGACUGGAAUUCCUGGUGUAGCGGUGAAAUGCGCAGAUAUCAGGAGGAACACCGAUUGCGAAGGCAGCUCGCUGGAACGUUACUGACGCUGAGACGCGGAAAGCGUGGGGAGCAAACAGG